rnacentral:rRNA from 1 species
GACGAACGCUGGCGGCGUGCUUAACACAUGCCAGUCGAACGGAAAGGCCUCUUUCGGGGGGUACUCGAGUGGCGAACGGGUGAGUAACACGUGAGUAACCUGCCCUUGACUUUGGGAUAACUUCAGGAAACUGGGGCUAAUACCGGAUAGGAGCUCCUGCUGCAUGGUGGGGGUUGGAAAGUUUCGGCGGUUGGGGAUGGACUCGCGGCUUAUCAGCUUGUUGGUGGGGUAGUGGCUUACCAAGGCUUUGACGGGUAGCCGGCCUGAGAGGGUGACCGGCCACAUUGGGACUGAGAUACGGCCCAGACUCCUACGGGAGGCAGCAGUGGGGAAUAUUGCACAAUGGGUGGAAGCCUGAUGCAGCAACGCCGUGUGCGGGAUGACGGCCUUCGGGUUGUAAACCGAUUUCGCUCAUGACGAAGCUUUGUGUGACGGUAGUGGGUAAAGAAGCACCGGCUAACUACGUG